GAGAUAAAAAAAUCCUCGCACCAAAGCAAGACAUCAUCAUCCUUCCAGUUCCCCAAUCCCCUGCUAUCUCUCGAGUCCGCUACUAGCGGACGCGUUGCCCCUCUCGUCUUGCACGGUCGCGCCGGCGUAGCCGCAUCGGAGCCGGCCCCGCCCAAAACGAGGACUUCACGCGGCCAAGCGCGCGCGGCAACCAGCCAUCGGCAGCCUUGUCAUCAAGCCGCGACCAUCCGCCGUCCAGUUUCGCUCCUCCCCCCACACCCCCGGAUCGACCACCCAAUCCCCUCGGCGCACGCACGCCGGCGUCAUGGACGCCACACUGCUGCUCUCCGCCGUCGGCGCCACCAUUGCUGCCCGGUGGCGCCCUUGUACGCCCGCGCACCGCCCGGGGAGGGUUGUGCCAGGCCUGCGUCCGGCGUCCUGCAGGUCCGUCCGCGCCCGCGCCGCCGCAGCGGCCGCGCCAGCCGCCGGGAUGAAGUAUGGGCAACAAUCAAAUCUCUCAGGUCUGAUAGGGCAUCAGGGCCAGAAGGAUACACCGGACAAUUUUAAGUCCUGCUGGUCUAUAAUCAAGGUGGAUUUCAUGGCAGCCAUAAUGACCUUACAGCAAGGACAUGCAAGGAAAUUGGAACUCCUCAAUUCUGCAUUUAUCACCCUAAUCCUGAAGAAGACAGAGGCUUUGGAGGCAAAAGAUUACCGGCCAAUCAGUCUUGUGCACAGUUUUGCUAAACUUGUAACAAAACUAUUGGCAGAUCGCCUAGCCCCCCACCUGAAUAGUAUGGCUGCUACUAACCUAGUGCUUUUGUCCGUGGAAGAUGUAUAUUUAUAAAAAUGACAACUUUAUGUUGGUCCAACAAACGAUCAAAGUACUGCACAUCGUAAGAUCUCCAGUCUGUUUCUCAAACUUGAUAUUUCUAAAGCAUUCGAUUCAGUUGCUUGAAAUUUUCUUCUUGAAAUACUUCCUCACCUGGGAUUUUGCUGCUGCUUGGUGCAACCUUCUCAACAACCUGCUCCUAUCUGCCUCAACUCAUGUUAUCCUGAAUGGUAAACCAUGAGAUUUUAUUUAUCACCAACGAGGGCUUCAGCAGGGAGAUCCACUUUCUCCUAUGCUAUUCAUCUUGGUGAUGGAAGUCUUAAACAGUUUAUUCACAAAGGAUGAGUCUGAAGGCCUGUUGCGUCCACUCCAUUCUACUGGGCAGCGCCUAUCCUUGUAUGCAGAUGAUGUGGCAUUAUUUAUUCGCCCCCAAGCUGAUGACCUCCAACUAACUAAAGAGCUGCUGCAGAUUUUUGGUGAAGCAUCAGGACUGCAGACCAGUCUCCAAAAGAGCUGUCUCUUCUCCAUUCAGUGCGAUAACGAUAUUGUGGAUGUGGUCAAUCAGUCAUUACAUUGCACAAUCUCAGCCUUUCCCACCACUUAUCUAGGUCUGCCCAUCUCUGACAAGAAGUUAAGAAUGUGUGAUCUUCUAGCUUGGAUCGAGAAAAUAGCAAACAAGCUCCUUUGGUGGAAAUACCCGUGUCUUAAUUUUUUUGCCGAGUCGGAUACCCCGCACCCGUGUCGGAUUCCAACACCCGUGUCGGAUUCCAAGUGUUAUUUGCCGUGUCCCAAAAAAUUCUAAUGAAUCGGACACCCGCACCCGAGUCGGACAACGACACCCGCACCCGUGUCCAUGUAACACUGCUUCCCUCAUGAAUCUUGCUGGUCGAGCAGUAUUGGUCCGCUUUGUUCUUACCGCCAUCCCACUUUACUUGCUGGUCCUCAAGGUCCCCAACUGGUUCAUCUGUGCAAUAGAUAAAAUAAGGGAAAAUUAGUUCUGCAGCAUCGAAAGAUGACGUCUUUUGUAAAAUACCAUUAAAAACGCUCGCCCUUGUAAAAUACCACUAACAGAUACUAACGUUACCGGAAAGUAGCAUUCCGUUAGAUUUAUUCACCAAAAACUUUGUUUUGACUGUUUUCAGCACAAAUGGUAGAGGUUAAAUUACUUUUCUACCCUUGAAUCAUGAAUCACCAUCCAGGUGCUGGCGGCCUAAUCCGAUCCAAUCGCUUAUGCUCCCAAGUCCCAAUCUCUUGUGCUCCCUACCGCCGCCUAGCUCUCCCCAACAGGCGGCGCUGCCCCUUCGUCCUUAUGAGCACCCCCCCCCAUCCUUUCGUGCUCCUCCAGACUAGGCUGCCCAAAGCAGGCACGCGUCACAUCGCACGACGGCGGCGCUAGGACUGGCAGGCGCGGGCUGUCUAAGCUUUCCUGCGCCACGCUCCAAUUCUUGCUCCUCGCCGCCGCCUUUGCCGACCGUCUGCAGGCUCCUCGUCGUCUCCUAUGCUCAGUGGCGGAGCCAGAAAUUUGCGGCUGGGUAUGCCAAAUAUAAAAAAAAAUUCAAGCUAAUACAUAAUAUAGUUGACGAUAAGUUGCAUACCAAAUUCAUAAUCGCACUGUUCGGCUGCUGUUGCAGCUGCCACCGCCAUUUUGCGCUGCCGCAACACGCGGUAGUGCAACAAUAGUGCAAUUGAACGGUGUGAAUAACAACCGGUGGCAGACUCCUUCGCACUGAUGCUGGGGCGCUGGCACUGGUACGGCGAGGGGCUUGCGGCCUACCCCUGCCGGAGUUGUAGUUGCCGAGUUGGGGAGGUCAUCAGGAUGAGAAAGCCGGACGCCGGUCGCCGGAGUGCCGCCAGACGCCGAUCCACGGGACAGGCGAAGGGCCGAGGGCCGAAGGCGGAGGGCUCAGAGCUGAGGGCUGAAGGCGCACUGGGCAAACGCGGAGCCGUGGGACUGGGGCUCGGAACCGCGGGCAGAGACAGAGAGAAUGAUUCUUUUGCAGUUGGGGCUUCGUUGCUAGGCUUUAUUGAAUUGGGUCCAUAAGUUGUAUGUGAUACUCCCUCCGUGCCAAAAUAAGUAUAGUUUUUGCCAUUCAAAUUUUAUCCCACAAAGAAUGUAGUUUUAGCUUGCAAUGAGAUCCAUCUAAUUAAAAAAAUACCAAGUAUACCAAGAAAGCAUUGCAUAGAAGAAUGUAUAGAGUGAAUCAAAUAUUCAGUAGAUAUUACUUUUUUAGUUUUAAUGUGUAUGCAUUCAUUAAGGAUCCAGAAAACCAAAUAAACUAUAUAGUUUUUUAUCACAAUUGGUAGAAGUAAUUAUGGGUAACAAAAUCAUUUUUUGAAUGAGUAAUGUGUUUGAAAUUUUCUAAAACUACACUCUUUAUGCAAUGGAGGGAGUAUAUACAUCUAUGAAUACAUGUUGAUAUUUUUCUCUAAAUCUUGGGUAUGCCUAGGCAUACAGGGGCAUACCCCUGGCGCCGCCCCUGCCUAUGCUAGGCAGGAGGAGCAGGCUCACAGAGGAGCCAACUCAUGCGGGCGAGGCAGCUCGCCGCGGAGCUAUGCUGCUGGCGGUGGAGGUGAGGUGCCCGUGCGACUCCGCUUCGGCAAGGUGUCGCGGAUAGGCGAGGUGACCGUGGAUAGGCGCUCUGAUGGUGGUGGUGAUCGCCGGCGUCCCUGUCCACAUGCAUCGCUGGGGCACAGCGUGUUUCAGUGUGUUGGUGUUUGUUCUGAGGGUAUUUUUGUCCAAGUUAUCAGAGUUGCUGACGAGAUCUAACAGAAUGCUACUUUCCGGUAACAUUUGCAACUUUCAGGGGUAUUUUACGGUGGCGAACAUUUUUAAUGGUAUUUCAUCCUUUCCAAAGAA